UCCAGCGCCGGGCCCUUUCAUCUCCAGCGCCGGGCCUUUACAUCUCCAGCGCCGGGCCUUUACAUCUCCAGAGCUGGGCCUUUACAUCUCCAGGGCUGGGCCCUUAAAUCUCCAGCACUGGGCCUUUAUAUCUCCAGCGCUGGGCCCUUCACAACUCCAGCGCUGGGCCCUUCACAUCUCCAGCGCUGGGCCCUUCACGUCUCCAGCGCUGGGUCCUUCACAUCUCCAGCACUGGGCCUUCACAUCUCCAGGGCUGGGCCCUUAAAUCUCCAGCACUGGGCCUUUAUAUCUCCAGCAGCAAUAUAAAGCCGAGGACCCAGCAAGUGUUCACCUCUGGAGAAUUUGAUGAAUUCUAUGCAUCUGAAAGGCCUCCGAUGCUUAAGACCUUUUUUUUCUUUUCAAGUCUCGAACAUUUAUUGAACACGUAUAUGUGCCAAGCGCUAUUCUCAAACUGCCCCAUGAGGAAUGGACCACAGAGCUCCAUUUUACAGAUGAAAGAAACCAAGGCUUCAAAAGGAAGCUACACUGAAGCAGAAAGAACUAGUGGUACCCCUGGAAGCCACACCUGCUCUUCCUAUGCUCCAGGGCUCUGUGCCAUUCCUGCAGCUUGAGCCAGGAGGAAUGUUUGCAAGGAUACCAGCCAUUUUGCCAAUGUGCACAGUUUUUCUUUAGUCAUUACUGGAGGAGACUGACUUUCUUCUGUUUCAAAUAUCUAAAGAUCACUUUCAGAGCAAACUGAGAGUAAACUAACUGGAUGGGCUAAUCCUACCUUGGAUCCUCCUCUGCCAUUUCAUUGUUAGAAUCAAUUUCUGCAGGAGUAUUUCACAUAUUUUACUGUCAGUGUCUCUGCAAACCCAACACAUUAUGGAGGAGAGAGCAAGCCUCUGAAGCCAGACACACCUGAGAUUAAAUCCUGGUUCUGCCAUUUUAUUAGCCAUGUGACUUUAAAAGGUUACUUAAUCUCUCAGGGCCUUGAUUUCCUCAUCUGUAAAAUUGGAAGCCACAUUCUCUAAAAGGACCAGCAAGCAACAAUUUUAAAGAAAGGAGAGGCCAGGCACGGUGGCUCACGCCUGUAAUCCCAGC